rnacentral:rRNA from 1 species
ACGAACGCUGGCGGCGUGCUUAACACCUGCAAGUCGAACGGUGAAGCGCCUUCCUUUUUGGUGGGUGUGGAUGAGUGGCGAACGGGUGAGUAACACGUGAGUAACUUGCCCCCUUCUUCUGGAUAACCGCAUGAAAGUGUGGCUAAUACGGGAUAUUCUGGGUCUGUCGCAUGAUGGGUCUGGGAAAGAUAUUGUUUCGGUGGGGGAUGGGCUCGCGGCCUAUCAGCUUGUUGGUGGGGUGAUGGCCUACCAAGGCGGUGACGGGUAGCCGGCCUGAGAGGGUGGACGGUCACACUGGGACUGAGACACGGCCCAGACUCCUACGGGAGGCAGCAGUGGGGAAUAUUGCACAAUGGGCGCAAGCCUGAUGCAGCGACGCCGCGUGAGGGAUGGAGGCCUUCGGGUUGUGAACCUCUUUCGCCAGUGAAGCAGGCCUGCCUCGUUUGUGGGUGGGUUGACGGUAGCUGGAUAAGAAGCGCCGGCUAACUACGUG